rnacentral:rRNA from 1 species
UCGUAGUUGAACUUCUGACGGUAAAGUCAGCUGGCUUCGGUCGCUGUCUUUGCGGUCAUCCGUUAGGAACUACGUUCGAACUUCACUGUUCGGCGUAAGGAACUGGCAUUUUACUUUGAAAAAAUUAGAGUGUUCAAGGCAGGCUAUUGCUCUGAAUACACAAGCAUGGAAUAAUGAAAUAGGACUACUUCCAUUUUAUUGGUUAUUGGAAAUAGUAAUGAUUAACAGGGACAGUUGGGGGCAUUAGUAUUUAAUAGUCAGAGGUGAAAUUCUUGGAUUUAUUAAAGACUAACUUAUGCGAAAGCAUUUGCCAAGGAUGUUUUCAUUAAUCAAGAACGAAAGUUAGGGGAUCAAAGACGAUCAGAUACCGUCCUAGUCUUAACUAUAAACUAUACCGACUAGGGAUUGGUUGGGAUUUUUUAACCCAAUCAGCACCUUAUGAGAAAUCAAAGUCUAUGGGUUCUGGGGGGAGUAUGGUCGCAAGGCUGAAACUUAAAGGAAUUGGACGGGAAGGGCACCACCAGGGAGUGGGAGCCUGCCGGUUUAAAUUUGACUCAACACGGGGGAAACUUUACCAGGGUCAAAGACAUAAAGUGGGAUUGACAGAUUGAGAGCUCUUUUCCUUGAUUCUAUGGGUGGUGGUGCAUGGGCCGUUCUUUAGUUGGUGGAGUGAUUUGUCUGGGUUAAUUCCCGUUAACGAACGAGACCUUUAACCUGCUAACUAGUCGCUCUGUGCUAAACGGGUUGACUUCUUAGAGGGACUAUGCGUUCAAGCGCAUGGAAGUUUGAGGCAAUAACAGGUCAGUGAUGCCCUUAGAUGUCCUGGGCCCACGCGCGCUACACUGACACGUGCAACGAGUACAUCCUGGUCCGGAAGGAUUUCGGGUAAUCUUCAUAGUACGUGUCGUGCUGGGGAUAGAUCUUUGCAAUUUUAGAUCUUGAACGAGGAAUUCCUAGUAAGCACAAGUCAUCAGCUUGUGCUGAUUACGUCCCUGCCCUUUGUACACACCGCCCGUCGCUCCUACCGAUUGAGUGGUUCGGUGAUUUUUUCCCACUCACGUCCUUGUAAAACGGCGGCCAGUGAAUUAGAGCCUCGUACCC